GGGGGAUAUUGCGCAAUGGGGGCAACCCUGACGCAGCAACGCCGCGUGAAGGAUGAAGGUUUUCGGAUUGUAAACUUCUUUUAUUAAGGACGAAAAAUGACGGUACUUAAUGAAUAAGCUCCGGCUAACUACGUGCCAGCAGCCGCGGUAAUACGUAGGGAGCAAGCGUUGUCCGGAUUUACUGGGUGUAAAGGGUGCGUAGGCGGCUUUGCAAGUCAGAUGUGAAAUCUAUGGGCUCAACCCAUAAACUGCAUUUGAAACUGUAGAGCUUGAGUGAAGUAGAGGCAGGCGGAAUUCCCCGUGUAGCGGUGAAAUGCGUAGAGAUGGGGAGGAACACCAGUGGCGAAGGCGGCCUGCUGGGCUUUAACUGACGCUGAGGCACGAAAGCGUGGGUAGCAAACAGGAUUAGAUACCCUGGUAGUCCACGCUGUAAACGAUGAUUACUAGGUGUGGGGGGUCUGACCCCUUCCGUGCCGGAGUUAACACAACAAGUAAUCCACCUGGGGAGUACGGCCGCAAGGUUGAAACUCAAAGGAAUUGACGGGGGCCCGCACAAGCAGUGGAGUAUGUGGUUUAAUUCGAAGCAACGCGAAGAACCUUACCAGGUCUUGACAUCCAACUAACGAAGUAGAGAUACAUUAGGUGCCCUUCGGGGAAAGUUGAGACAGGUGGUGCAUGGUUGUCGUCAGCUCGUGUCGUGAGAUGUUGGGUUAAGUCCCGCAACGAGCGCAACCCUUGCUAUUAGUUGCUACGCAAGAGCACUCUAAUAGGACUGCCGUUGACAAAACGGAGGAAGGUGGGGACGACGUCAAAUCAUCAUGCCCCUUAUGACCUGGGCUACACACGUACUACAAUGGAUGUUAACAGAGGGAAGCAAGACAGCGAUGUGGAGCAAACCCCUAAAAACAUUCUCAGUUCAGAUUGCAGGCUGCAACCCGCCUGCAUGAAGAUGGAAUUGCUAGUAAUCGCGGAUCAGCAUGCCGCGGUGAAUACGUUCCCG
rnacentral:rRNA from 1 species